GGGGGUUUGGGGUGGGAAAUGCAGCCACAUUUGGGCCGCAGAGACUGCCCAAGCCAUCUGCUCCUGGGAGGUGGAGCACACUGCCUAACGUUUUACUACUUUCCCAAAGGCAGUGCCCAAGCAAAAUCAACCCCAGUGUGGAGCCUCCUUGUUCCCAGGUGACUAACAGGACACCACCACCCCACCUUCCUAAGGAGAGAAGAAAACCAGCAGAGUCCCCGAACAAAAGAACUUGGAGGGAAGGGAUAUACAUGCAAUAUUCAUGCUUCUUUAGAGGAAACAAUAUAACAACCUUCUUGCAGACCUUGCUUAGGAAUAAUGGUCAUUAAUAUAUUAAUCUGUGUCCCCAUUAGAAGGAGAAAAACAGAAGGUGUGGUGGCUCACCCGUAAUCCCAGCACUUUGGGAGGCCAAGGCAGGAGGAUCUGUUGAACCCAAGAGUUUGAGACCAGGCUGGGCAACAUAGCAAGACCUUUCCUCUACUCAAAGUUUAAAAAAAAAAAAAAAGUAGCCAGGUGUGGUGGUGCACACCUACAGGCCCAGCUACUUGGGAGGCUGAAGUGGGAGGAUUGCUUGAGCCCAGGAGUUCAAGGCUGCAGUGAGCUGUGAUCGCACCACUAUGCUCCAGCCUGGAUGACAGAGCAAGACUGUGUCGCAAAAAAAAAAAAAAAGGAAGGAAAAAGUCAUGCGGUGUUCUGGGCCCCCAUAGGAGCAGGUUCACCCAAGUUCUUGCAAACCAAGAGUGCUUAAUCAUAACAGGACUGGCAAUGGUAUGGGCUUUCCGGCUGGGGCUGGAGGGGCAUCCGCCUCAUGGGAUGGGACGGCAAUGGGACCAUGAUCAGGGACCAAACCUGGCUUUCUCUUUGCAGUCUACUUGCCCUCUCACUACAUUUCUGUCCCGUGACCUUCCUUCAGGUCUCACCUGGAAGUGUCACACUCGCCAUUCCCUAUCAUAUUGUUUUUUGUUUUGUUUUGUUUUUUGAGACAGAGUUUCACUCUUGUCACCCAGGCUGGAGUGCAAUGGCGCAAUCUUGGCUCACUGCAACCUCCACCUCCCAGGCUCGAGCGAUUCUUGUACCUCAGCCUCCUGAGUAGCUGGGAUUACAGGUGUGUACUGCCAGCUAACUUUUGUAUUUUUUAUGGAGACAGGGUUUCACCAUGUUGGCCAGGCUGGUCUCGAACUCCUGACCUCAGGUGAUCCGCCCGCCUUGGCCUCCCAAAGUGCUGGGAUUACAGGCAUGAGCCACCGUGCCCAGCCCCGUCAUACUGUUUUAACCACGCCAAACAUGAUCCAGCUGCCUCACCCUCUCAUACCUGCAAACACUCCCUCAUCUAAGGUGAGUUUCUGAGUCCAAGAUUACCAUCACGGGGGCACGCUUCUCCAAGUCCUUGGUCUUCAAUGUCCAUUCCUUCUCUCAUUCAGUAUUAUUUGGGCCACAUGAGAUUCUUCAGCGUCUUGCAACUCACGCUUCCUAAUCAAUGGCUCUCAAAUUUUAAUGACCUUAAUGAUUCACCAGGGAGCUUGUCGAAAGACAGAUUCCUCAGCUUCACUCCCUAAAAGUCAAACUCAGCAGGAAUCAGCAUCCUGAGAAAUCCAUUCUGAGGAAAUAAUCCGCAUGCUCCACCCUGAGAAAUGGCCGGGCUUUGCACCUUACCUGCUGCGUGAAACUUGGCCUCCAAUACUUCUACAGUAUAGUACAGAAUAGUGAACUUCAGUUUUCAUUGCAUACCCCUCAAUAAAAAUGUUAAUAUGUGACCAGGUGCAGUGGCUCAUGCCUGUAAUCCCAGUACUUUGGGAGGCUGAGGUGAUCGGAUCACUUGAGGUGAGAAGUUCGUGACUAGCCUGACCAACA
rnacentral:lncRNA from 1 species